rnacentral:lncRNA from 1 species
GUGAUCAGUCCAGUACACUUGUGUGUACAAGUGUGAUAAAAAUUUCUUCAGAACCUAGACAUGACAUUUUUAUCAGAAAACCUGCACAGCAGGGGCUAGUUAUAAAAUGUUGUAUUUUAAGAAUUUAAGAGGGAGCUGUAUUUUUUACAGUCAUCUGAAUUCCAAUGAGGAGACCUAUUUGUAUGAGUAUGGCUGGUGUGUCCAACAGAGACCAAAAUGUCACAAUUUUCAAGAAAAUAUACAGCAGUGAAAACCUAUAAGGAUGGUGCAGUGGGUUUCAAUCAGAACUUUCACAUUCAAUAGAAUCUACAUAGGGGAGGCUUUACAAUUAGAAGUACUCUCAGGACUUUAGCAAAAGUAUAAUGAUGGACACAACAAAAUCCAUGU